rnacentral:rRNA from 1 species
AGAGUUUGAUCCUGGCUCAGGACGAACGCUGGCGGCGUGCUAAUACAUGCAAGUAGAACGCUGGAGAAAGGAGCUUGCUUCUUUGGAUGAGUUGCGAACGGGUGAGUAACGCGUAGGUAACCUGCCUUGUAGCGGGGGAUAACUAUUGGAAACGAUAGCUAAUACCGCAUAACAGCUUUUGACACAUGUUAGAAGCUUGAAAGAUGCAAUUGCAUCACUACGAGAUGGACCUGCGUUGCAUUAGCUAGUAGGUAGGGUAACGGCCUACCUAGGCGACGAUACAUAGCCGACCUGAGAGGGUGAUCGGCCACACUGGGACUGAGACACGGCCCAGACUCCUACGGGAGGCAGCAGUAGGGAAUCUUCGGCAAUGGGGGCAACCCUGACCGAGCAACGCCGCGUGAGUGAAGAAGGUUUUCGGAUCGUAAAGCUCUGUUGUAAGAGAAGAACGUGUGUGAGAGUGGAAAGUUCACACAGUGACGGUAACUUACCAGAAAGGGACGGCUAACUACGUGCCAGCAGCCGCGGUAAUACGUAGGUCCCGAGCGUUGUCCGGAUUUAUUGGGCGUAAAGCGAGCGCAGGCGGUUUAAUAAGUCUGAAGUUAAAGGCAGUGGCUUAACCAUUGUUCGCUUUGGAAACUGUUAAACUUGAGUGCAGAAGGGGAGAGUGGAAUUCCAUGUGUAGCGGUGAAAUGCGUAGAUAUAUGGAGGAACACCGGUGGCGAAAGCGGCUCUCUGGUCUGUAACUGACGCUGAGGCUCGAAAGCGUGGGGAGCAAACAGGAUUAGAUACCCUGGUAGUCCACGCCGUAAACGAUGAGUGCUAGGUGUUAGGCCCUUUCCGGGGCUUAGUGCCGCAGCUAACGCAUUAAGCACUCCGCCUGGGGAGUACGACCGCAAGGUUGAAACUCAAAGGAAUUGACGG